rnacentral:lncRNA from 1 species
GUCUUGUUGGGUAUACUUGGGGCAUUAUAUGUUUCACUACUGUAAAUAUGCAGACAUCUUGCCAUCCCUUUCCUUUCAUCUUCAAUUCUAACACAAAUAUGAUCUGACUGAGGUAUGACUCAGUAGGAUACAGCUAUAGAAUGAACAUGUAUUACUAUUUAUCAUGCAAGCAUUAGUCUAGGCCUACUUUUUCCAUUACUUGUUUCAUUGGAUGAAAUCUCACUUUUCUACUGCUUGAACACUACUAUUAGCUUAUUGCUAACAUUUUGAAAAAUCCUAUAUUUGAUCCUAUCGGGGGUUAUAACUAUCUAUCUCUUUUCACCAAGAGGAAACCAUCAAUGAAAACAGACCUACUGGUGAUUGCCCAUUAAAUGUAUCAAGUGAAAUACUGUGUCAAGCACAGCAUAAGCAGGCACAUGACAGUCUUACGUAAUUAUACAACUGGGCAACAGCACUAUAAAUACAGCUGUGAGGCCUGCGUGUGUUGUUGCUAAUAAUAAAUAAGAAUGCCAAAUAAUGACUGAAUUGCUGACGUCAUUCAAAAAUACUCGGUUAAUAAUAGCCCUGUCCCAGAGUUAGGCAUUCCUAAGUAUCUAUCUAAGUUACUUACAUAGUAAUAGCAUGUGACUAUGCAAUAACUUACAGUAUCCUCAGAAUAUCAAAUGUAUUUUAGGCAAUUCGGAGAGUAACUGUGUUAAAUGUUGUUUUGACAGAAGAAAACAACAAAGGUAUGCGCUAAGCUCACCUAUUCUUUGAUGUUUCUCCAGUGUCACGUUUUUCCCUUUUUCUUUACUGUAGGCUCUGCGUUUGACCCGGUAUUUACUGAGAAAUACGACAGCAGAGUAUAUUACUAGUUUGUUUCCUGUCUCAAAAUUAUUCAAGAGCUCUUCGUCCUCGUUGAAGUGAAUAGAAUACGCAGUGCCGUGGCUCGAGGUGUCCACUUGAUGCUCGAGGAUGAUGAUUCAGGAGCGCUCCUUCCAACCGCGCGCACAUCUCUGGCAGCAACAGCUGGCUGCAGCCCAUUUGUAAAUUACCAUAUAUACCGCCCCCUCGGCUAUGCCCAUUGGCUUAGCGCUGGUACACUCAUCUGCCUCCGCUAGCCAACAUUUCAGUUGACGAGAGACUACAGAAGUAGGCUACAAUUCAAUGAAAGCUGUCACAACUGACGCCCCAAAUAGUUUGUGUCAAUAUGACAUGCUUGCUUCUUAGUUUUUAUGUUAUUGUUAGAUGUGAUAUUUACCUCAUACACAUUACUGUACAUGACGAGACAUGGACAUGUUAUAUUAUAACAUAUGGGAAUAAAUUAUGAAAAUGUAUUAUGACAUUAAAGAGCGACUGGCCCUAAAACCCAACUAAUCAUUUUGAAAAUGGCCCAUGUGGCAUCAAAAUGAGUCAGAAACAUGUAUUCUAGUGUCAAAAUGUACUAAAAAGUGUAAAUAGGAUAAUUUUGGUCAUAAAGUCAGCCUCGUCUAAAACGGAGUUUGGAACAUCAGUGCGUCACAAGUAGGCCUAAAUUAAGGUUGGGUUUGGAUUACAAUGAUGUCAUCAAAUAAUGCCCCCUUUUGCCAAACUCCUCCUGCAAAUCGCCUCUCAGCCCACUUCGCUUCCCUUCAUUAAAUGGGGCUCCGUUGUUUCAUCGCCUCCAAUGUGUUCAAAGGAUCAUGGCCGUUUUAGACUGAAAGCCCUAUACGGAUUGACCAUGCAUGCAUGCUUCCAGCAGGAUGCACAGCUAACUGGUGUGCAUGCCCUGCCGAAGGACCAGUGGUGGAAAAAGUACCCAAUUGUCAUACUUGAGUAAAAGUAAAGAUACCUUAAUAGAAAAUGACUCAAGUAAAAGUGAAAGUCACCCAGUAUAAAACGACUUGAGUAAAAGUCUAAAAGUAUUUGGUUUUAAAUAUACAAAGGUGGGUUUCAUAACAUGUCCAGCAAUAUGAUUGCAAUGGUUGAGCAACCUCCAAAAAGAAUGUAAUUCACUGUUCACUUGCUAUUUUCACAGUUUGUCAGGCAAGACCUCAGAAUAAAAGUGGUUCAUGCGACACAAGUACCCUUGUUACACCUCCUAUGUUGUUGCUAGUCCCCCUCGACUCCUAUGAAAAGGAUACGCCAUCAUGAGGCCUCUGAUAGUGACCCGAGUUACUGCCCUGAUGACACAGCGGCUUCAUCAACAAUGACAGGCCCUCCCAGUCAACACCACCUCAUAAGAUUGCCUGCUGCAGUUGUUCGAGAGAUGUCCAGUUUGCAGCCAAACAUGCAGCAUAGAGAAGACCAGCAAGGGGGCCCUCAUCAGCAUCAUGCGGACAUGCCUUCGCUGUGAGCAUUCCAAUGAAUGAAACAGUCAGCCACAUGUUGGCUGUAUCUGGCCAGCAGCCUUCACCAGUCAGCAGCAACAGCUUUCACAGGCUCAUCAUUUGUACAAAUACAGACGUUAACCCAC